rnacentral:rRNA from 1 species
UACAGAGACCCCGAGCAUUAUCCGGAAUUACUGGGCGUAAAGGGUGAGUAGCCGGUCGUAUUAGUCUGAUGUCAAACCAUGGGGCCUAACCCCAUACCUGCAUCGGAAACGGUACGGCUUGAGUGGGUGAGAGGCAGGCGGAACGUACGGUGUAGGGGUGAAAUCCACUGAUAUCGUACGGAACACCAAAAGCGAAGGCAGCCUGCUAGCGCUCUACUGACGGUGAAUCACGAAAGCGUGGGGAUCAAAAAGG